rnacentral:rRNA from 1 species
GACGAACGCUGGCGGCGUGCCUAAUACAUGCAAGUUGAGCGCUGAAGGUUGGUACUUGUACCAACUGGAUGAGCAGCGAACGGGUGAGUAACGCGUGGGGAAUCUGCCUUUGAGCGGGGGACAACAUUUGGAAACGAAUGCUAAUACCGCAUAAAAACUUUAAACACAAGUUUUAAGUUUUAAAGAUGCAAUUGCAUCACUCAAAGAUGAUCCCGCGUUGUAUUAGCUAGUUGGUGAGGUAAAGGCUCACCAAGGCGAUGAUACAUAGCCGACCUGAGAGGGUGAUCGGCAACAUUGGGACUGAGACACGGCCCAAACUCCUACGGGAGGCAGCAGUAGGGAAUCUUAGGCAAUGGACGAAAGUCUGAAAGAGCAACGCCGCGUGAGUGAAGAAGGUGUUCGGAUCGUAAAACUAUGUUGGUAGAGAAGAACGUUGGUGAGAGUGGAAAGCUCAUCAAGUGACGGUAACUACCCAGAAAGGGACGGAUAACUACGUG